CGAAGAGUAGCCAAACAGUUAAGGCCUCUUACUUACACUAAGACUACUGCCUGUGCAAGUCAGGCCUCUUCGU
rnacentral:tRNA from 1 species